UUGUAUGUAAAAUUAGUAAAUCUAAAGUAUUAAAUGGUAUAUCAUUAAAUUUAUGAAACUUGGCGGUAUUUUAUUCAGGUUAGAGGAAUCUGUUGUGUAAUCGAUGGUCCACGAUAGGAGUUACUUAAAUUUUUAUAUUUAUGUAUUGUUGUUUUUAAAUAUGUUAAAUAAGAUUUAGUUAGAAUGGAAAUUAUCAAGUAAUUCAAAUCAAAAUGUAGUAGAUAUUUAAGAAUUUAUGGGUUACAAUAAAAUGAAUUUAGAUGAAUUUGUGUUUUUAAAAGUAUAAUGAAAGUGGAUUUAAAAGUAUAAUAGUAUAAAAUUAUUUUAUUUGAAAUAGUUAUAAAAUAUGU
rnacentral:rRNA from 1 species